rnacentral:miRNA from 1 species
ACCCUUCAAACCCAGUGCUGAUGUUCCCUAAAUAAGGGAACAUCAGCACUGGGUUUGAGGGGU